rnacentral:rRNA from 1 species
GACGAACGCUGGCGGCGUGCUUAACACAUGCAAGUCGAACGGAAAGGCCUGCUUUCCCUUGUGGAUUGCGGGUACUCGAGUGGCGAACGGGUGAGUAACACGUGCGUGAUCUGCCCCCAACUUGGGUAUAAGCCUGGGAAACUGGGUCUAAUUCCCGAUAGGACUGCAGGGUGGUGCCUGUGGUGGAAAACGAUUUUCUAGUGGUUGGGGAUGAGCUCGCGGCCUAUCAGCUGGUUGGUGGGGUAAUGGCUUACCAAUGCUGCGUCGGGUAGCCGGCCUGGGAUGGUGGACGUGCACAGUGGGACUGAGACACGGCGCAGACGCUUACGGGCAGCAGCAGACGGGAGGAUGGCGCGAUGAGCGGAAGCCUGAGGCAGCGACGCCGCGGGGGGGAUGACGGCCUUCGGGUGGUAAACUCCUGUCGACCGCGAGGAAGCCACCUGGCUGGAAGGUUGGUGACGGUAGUGGGAGAAGAAGCACCGGCUAACUACGUG